rnacentral:misc_RNA from 1 species
UACGUAGGUCCCGAACGUUGUCCGGAAUUAUUGGGCGUAAAGCGCGCGCAGGCGGUUCCUUAAGUCUGAUGUGAAAGCCCACGGCUCAACCGUGGAGGGUCAUUGGAAACUGGGGAACUUGAGUGCAGAAGAGGAAAGCGGAAUUCCACGUGUAGCGGUGAAAUGCGUAGAGAUGUGGAGGAACACCAGUGGCGAAGGCGGCUUUCUGGUCUGUAACUGACGCUGAGGUGCGAAAGCGUGGGGAGCAAACAGG